GAUCCAUGCAGACACGAUCCUGGGAGCACAGCUCGCUCACAGCUACUCGGUGACAUUGUCCCAACGCCCAACAAGUGACAUGUGGGAAAGGCUCCAGAGGAGUGCUGAGCAUGCAGUCUCUAAUCUAGGAGGUGUGGAGAUUGCAGGGGAAUUGGCUAUUACAAUUUCCCCUCUUCCAUGCUGUGUGUGUAUGUUAAAACUCAAGCUAGGUGGGGAAAGAUAAAAGAGAUAUUAUAAACUUUGCUCCUACUGAGCCCAACAGGAAAAUUCCCAGUGACAUCAGUGACGUACAAAAAGGUUCCUAGCUCUUACUCAGGAGGUGACUGUUGCUCCAGGCCAGAGUAAGUAAAAUAGCAAAGAUUUGACUCUCCAGGCUUUGCCACGCACAAUGCCAAGCACCUCAUGCACAAUGCUGACGUCUCUCCAUACCCAUGGACUUCCCUGGGAGUUGAAGGCACUCAAUACUGCCUGGGAGGAAGAGAGCUGUGUGUGGCAGAAAAUAACGAUCUGCAGCAGGAGGAAAUACAGUCCAAAAAAACUGUGAGUAGCUGUUUGUGGUUAUGUCACAUCAUCAUCUCCAACUCAAAAAGUCGCUCCGAGGAUCUAGAAGAAAUUUAAUUUUAAAACACGUGGACACUUCACCACACAACUGAAGCCUCUCAUCACACAUAGCAUGAGAGCAACCCUACCCAGGCUCAUCAGCGUGUGUCUGUCCUCUCCUGCUGUCUGUCCUCUCCUGCUACCAGUGGCAUUCCCAUCCCAGCUGAGAGAACAAUACCUGACACAGAGAUCCAUUGGGAAUGUAGAGAAGUUCUGGUUGGGAACAGGUUUCAGCUGCAGAGCAGCCUGUCUCUGCCUCUAGGGUGAUUGCCAAGUUAUGAUGGUUAUACCCCUAUUCUGCCAAGCUGUGUAACCACAGUCUUUGUAGACUCAAAAAAUCAGGUGCAGGAGGAAUAUGUAAAUACAGCUUUGUGCCUUGAUGUUGYUUUUGUUCCUGUCUUGUCAGGAAGUGAAAUGAUUAUCCAAGGAUUCAUGAAAGGGUGGAUCCAGUUACMAGAACAGACAGUGCGAGCAUUGGAAGUGUGAGCAUUUUACCACGAGUACCAAUCAUAGCAUGAUUUCCACUCUUGUCCAUAUAAAGUU